GUCUAUGAACUUCACCAAUCCCUCCAAUAGUUUUAAAAUGCGUCCCAAACCUGGCCGAUCUUAUCAGAAUUUCUUGCCGUCGAGCCAAUUCUCGAUCAUGGUGAAACAAAUCUCUUCUUCCAAGUUUCAAUGCCGAUUCGAGUUCCAAAUGAUCCUUAAUCUGCUUGAAAUAUGCUUUCGAAUUAACAGAUUCCGAUUUCAUAUGGAUGUGAGCGACGUUAACAAAGUUUGGGAAAUUAAAGCCUUGAAGAAGAAGGCUGGAGAGAAAGAAGCAAAGGAGAUGCUGGAGAGAAUUGCGAAACAAGUCCAACCCAUUAUGUGUAGGCACAAAUGGCGAGUCAAGAUUCUUUCGGAGUUCUGCCCAAAAAAUCCAGCACUUUUAGGGGUAAAUGUGGGACGUGGAAUUCAUGUGAAGUUGAGGCUUCGAAGGCCAAAUAGGGAUGGAGAUUUCUUCCCUUUCAAUCAAGUGUUGGAUACAAUGCUACAUGAGCUUUGCCACAAUCUUCAUGGUCCUCACAAUGCCAAUUUCUACAAGCUUUGGGAUGAGCUUAGAAAGGUGGAAUGCGAGGAGUUGAUGGCUAAGGGAAUUAGUGGUACAGCACAGGGAUUUGAUAUCCCGGGGAGACGCUUGGGUGGUAAUAGUCAUCAACCCCCUCUUUCUUCCCUCCGCAAAUCUUCCCUAGCUGCUGCAGAAGGAAGAAGGCGUUUGAGAUCUCUACUUCCAUCUGGGCCUAAACGGCUUGGUGGUGAUAGCGACAUCAUGGUCGCAUUAAGUCCUGUACAAGCAGCUGCAAUGGCUGCAGAAAGGAGGCUUCAGGAUGAUAUUUGGUGCGCUUCAUCUCAAGCAAUGCCUGUGGAUGAGGAUUGUUGCUCUGAUUUUUCAUCAGAAGUUGCGCUUCGCCCCCAAGCAGGUGAAUCACAACUGUUUAGCAAUCCAAGUCAGGGUAUGGAUGCUUUCCACGAUAAAAGAUGUCGUGAGACGGAAAGGAGUUCUAUUAAGUCAUCCAAUGGUCACCUGAAACCCGAUUUUGUAAUCCCUGGUUCCUCUGCUGACUAUGAUGCUGAAUCAAAUAAGCGUCAUAAAAUGACAUUUAGAGUUCCAUUUCCUCAAUCUUGUGCAGAAACUAGCUCAAUAGAUCGUCCCUGUUCAUCCUCUAAUUUGAUGCCAAUUCAUGAUGGAACUACUCAUCCUGGAGAACUUUCCAUGUGGGAGUGUGGAAAUUGCACCUUACUGAAUCCACCACUAGCUCCAAUAUGUGAGCUCUGUUUCUCACCAAAGUCAAAAGCUGCUGAUACCAAAUACAAAUUCUGGUCAUGUAAGUUCUGCACCUUAGAAAACAGUGUGAAGUUGGAGAAAUGCUCAGCCUGUGGUCAAUGGAGAUAUUCUCAUGGCCAGCCAGUGUCGACUCGAGGACCAAAUAUUGGCACGUGAGACGCUUUUGAAAUAUGCUUGUUAAGCCAUUGUUCUCCAUUGAUGAAGUUCCUAUCUACAUAAGGUCUCACUUCCUCGGAGGUGAAAGUCCUUGCCCAUGGCACCCAACCUUUUGUGUUAGCUCCACUGCCCCUGCAUCUAUAUUGCCCAAAAACUGCUGUCCUGUGGGUGGAUAACAAUUGAAAAAUUCUAUUAGAUUAGCUUGAUUCAAGAGGUGGAGGGAUAUUUAUAAUUCUUGUGAGUGUUUGGGUCAACUUACGCCCACCUCGGUUAAUGUCAUGGUAUAUGUGUGUAUGUGUCGGGGGGGUCAUUAUUGUCCCCCAUGCUCUUCCCAGUAGUACUCUGCCACUUCCAUUAAUCACGCAGCGCACGAAAGAGAACCCGGUGUCAUCGUCUGGCGAGCUCCGAUGAUGCGCUGCUAUAGCUCCAAAGGUCUCUGCCGUGGAAGUUAUCACACAUUGCUGGUUUUCAAGAGAGAAAAACAGACAAACAUCAGACGACAAGUUCAAAACUCUAAAGCGAUCGACUAUGUGUCUAGAACUCGUUACCUCAUAGAGUGAUCUAGCCGUACCAAAUAUGAAAUCAAUAGUCCCUUGAAUGUGACAUUGAUAGAAAUAGUGUGUGCCCAUAUCAUCCAAAAGUGUAUCUUGUUGUCCUAAGAACUUGACUCUAUAAAACAUAGCCUUCUCUCCUGAAAUCCUUAGAGCCACAGCUUGUCUUCCCUUAUCUCCAGGCGCUGAAACCACUGUGUUCUACAAACCAAACCACAUUGAACUUACAAAACUCAAUAACUUCAUACUUACUCUUUUAUCUUUGUUUA